GAAAUGCGAUACGUAAUGUGAAUUGCAAAUUCAGUGAAUCAUCGAGUCUUUGAACGCACAUUGCGCCCCCUGGUAUUCCGGGGGGCAUGCCUGUCCGAGCGUCAUUUCUGCCCUCAAGCACGGCUUGUGUGUUGGGCCCCGUCCUCCGAUCCCGGGGGACGGGCCCGAAAGGCAGCGGCGGCACCGCGUCCGGUCCUCGAGCGUAUGGGGCUUUGUCACCCGCUCUGUAGGCCCGGCCGGCGCUUGCCGAUCAACCUAAAUUUUUAUCCAGGUUGACCUCGGAUCAGGUAGGGAUACCCGCUGAACUUAAGC
rnacentral:misc_RNA from 1 species